rnacentral:lncRNA from 1 species
CUGACACAUCGACUGGAACAGGUGUACGUGCACUGUUCAGUGGCAGCCUGCUCUGCUGCCAACACACUGCCUGGCAUUCCCUGCAGAGGACAGUGCAGCCCAAGCACAGAGAGGAACGGUAAGUGCUCAGGAGAAAAAGAUCCAUUGCAAAGCACUCCUGGCCCGAUGAUUUCAAGGGAUUUAGGACUCUUGAUUUUGGCAUCUGAAAUGUCUUGAAUGUGGAGUCUGUAACAUUAUCUUCAGCUCAUAGUUUAAUACAUUAGCACUGAAGUACAGCAUUUAUAUGUUCUUGAAAAGAUACAAAAAUGUGUGUCACUCUCAGCCUUUCCAGGUCACAAUUCGGCCCACCUCCAGGGUUAUGUACUUGCUGGACCAGUCUGGAUUGUUGAAUCAGACCUAAGAUGAAGCAUGUAAACUGAAUUUGGUAAGAACGCUUGGCCUUAUGUACUCACUUAGGUCACCGUGUUUUGAGUCACACAUGAUACAUACCUUCUGUUAUGAGACCUUAAGUUUCUGGGACACUGUCUCCAUCUUGGCUCUGCUACCUUUUCAAAAGCAUAUGGGACAAGAACUUGGGAAUAGGCAGGGUAUGUGGUCUCCUGGUCUAAGCUUGAACCCAUAAGAAAGGGAAGAAGGAGAGCUACCUGCCAAGCAAAACACAGGUGGUACAGCUCUAGAGAAGAUGCCAGCAGUAAAGCAGGGUAUGCUGGAGUCAGGCUGUAGAAGGCA